CGACCUGCAGGCGGCCGCGAAUUCACUAGUGAUUAGAGUUUGAUCAUGGCUCAGGGUGAACGUUGGUAGUGUGCUUAACACAUGCAAGUCGAGCGGAAGAUGAUAGCAAUAUUAUCUUUAGCGGCGUACGGGUGAGUAAUGCUUAUUUGAUCUGCCAAUUAGUGGGGGAUAGCCAUGAGAAAUCGUGGGUAAUACCGCAUUUGUUGCGUAUUCGUUUACGUAAUGAAAGGAGGUCUUUAGACCUUCGCUAGUUGAUGAGAAUAAGUCGUAUUAGCUAUUGGGUGUGGGUAAAUCCCACCUAGGCAAUGAUGCGUAGCUGGUUUGAGAGAAUGAACGGCCACAGGGGAACUGAGACACGGGCCCGACUCCUACGGGAGGCAGCAGUGAGGAAUAUUGGUCAAUGGACGCAAGUCUGAACCAGCCAUGCCGCGUGAAGGAUGAAGGCCUUCUGGGUUGUAAACUUCUUUUACUAGGGAAGAAACCUCCGAUUUCUAUUGGAGCCGACGGUACCUAGGGAAUAAGCACCGGCUAACUCCGUGCCAGCAGCCGCGGUAAUACGAAUCGAAUUCCCGCGGCCGCCAUGGCG
rnacentral:rRNA from 1 species